rnacentral:lncRNA from 1 species
UCCAAGUUAACUCUGUGCCAGGCCUGUAGAAUGGGGCCUGGUCUUCCUGUUUUGGCAUACAUUACUUACCAUUUUCCAGGGCCUCCUCUGGGCUCCUGGUCUUCGAGUCCCAUAACUGUGCUUUACUCUGUGCCAGGCCUGUAGACUGGGGCCUGGUCUUUCUUACUCUAUGCCAGGCCGUAGCAUGGGGUCCUGGUCUUCCUGUCUUGGACUAAUUGGGUCAUCCAACAUUCACCCACAUCAACAACAAUAGAUGCAAUGCGACAUAUUCGUGAAACUAAUGCAAUCAUCCUAUUGCAUAAUCAUGAUGCAUGAAACGUGAUAAGACAUUUUAAUUUAAAAGAUUGAGUUUA